CUACGGGGCGCACCAGUGGGGAAUAUUGGACAAUGGGGGAAACCCUGAUCCAGCAAUGCCGCGUGUGUGAAGAAGGCCUGCGGGUUGUAAAGCACUUUCGGUUGGGAGGACUGCUUCUAGCACUAAUAUUGUUGGAAGUUGACGUUACCUUCAGAAGAAGCACCGGCUACACUCCGUGCCAGCAGCCGCGGUAAUACGGAGGGGCAAGCGUUAAUCGGAAUUACUGGGCGUAAAGCGCGCGUAGGCGGCUAGAUCAGUCGGGUGUGAAAGCCCCGGGCUUAACCUGGGAACUGCAUCCGAUACUGUCUAGCUUGAGUACAGGAGAGGAGAGUGGAAUUCCACAUGUAGCGGUGAAAUGCGUAGAUAUGUGGAGGAACACCAAUGGCGAAGGCAGCUCUCUGGCCUGAUACUGACGCUGAGGUGCGAAAGCGUGGGGAGCAAACAGGAUUAGAUACCCGUGUAGUC
rnacentral:rRNA from 1 species